rnacentral:tRNA from 1 species
CUUAAGCUCCUUAUAUAAAGAUAUUUCUUUUAUUAGAA